UACAGAGGGGGCAAGCGUUAUUCGGAAUUACUGGGCGUAAAGUGUGCGCAGGUGGCCGCGCAAGUCGAGUGUGAAAGCCCCGGGCUUAACUUGGGAAUUGCGCUCGAAACUACGUGGCUAGAGUGUGGCAGAGGGAGGUGGAAUUCCACGUGUAGCGGUGAAAUGCGUAGAGAUGUGGAGGAACACCAAUGGCGAAGGCAGCCUCCUGGGCCAACACUGACACUCAUGCACGAAAGCGUGGGGAGCAAACAGG
rnacentral:rRNA from 1 species